rnacentral:rRNA from 1 species
AGGUGCUGUAAGCUUGCUUACGCCAUACUCUCCUGAGAAUGCCCGAUCUCGUCUGAUCUCGGAAGCUAAGCAGGAAAAGGCCU